GUGGGGAAUAUUGCACAAUGGGCGGAAGCCUGAUGCAGCAACGCCGCGUGAGGGAUGACGGCCUUCGGGUUGUAAACCUCUUUUAGCAGGGAAGAAGCGAAAGUGACGGUACCUGCAGAAAAAGCGCCGGCUAACUACGUGCCAGCAGCCGCGGUAAUACGUAGGGCGCAAGCGUUAUCCGGAAUUAUUGGGCGUAAAGAGCUCGUAGGCGGUUUGUCGCGUCUGCUGUGAAAACCCGAGGCUCAACCUCGGGCCUGCAGUGGGUACGGGCAGACUAGAGUGCGGUAGGGGAGAUUGGAAUUCCUGGUGUAGCGGUGGAAUGCGCAGAUAUCAGGAGGAACACCGAUGGCGAAGGCAGAUCUCUGGGCCGUAACUGACGCUGAGGAGCGAAAGCGUGGGGAGCGAACAGGAUUAGAAACCCGAGUAGUCC
rnacentral:rRNA from 1 species